CUUUAUUGGAGAGUUUGAUCCUGGCUCAGGAUGAACGCUGGCGGCGUGCCUAAUACAUGCAAGUCGAGCGAAUGGAUUGA
rnacentral:rRNA from 1 species